rnacentral:rRNA from 1 species
GAAUUGAAGCCCCAGUAAACGGCGGCCGUAACUAUAACGGUCCUAAGGGAGCGAAAUUCCUUGUCGGGUAAGUUCCGACCUGCACGAAAGGCGCAACGACUUGCACACUGUCUCGGCCAGAGACUCGGUGAAAUUGCAGUCGCGGUGAAAAUUCCGUGUACCCGCAGAAAGACGGAAAGACCCUGUGCACCUUUACUAUAGCUUGACAUUGGAUUUUGGGCCUGCAUGUGUAGGAUAGGUGGGAGGCUGUGAACCCUGUACGCCAGUAUGGGGGGAGCCAUCCUUGAAAUACCACCCUUGCAUGUUUAAGAUCCUAACUUCUUCCGGUUAUCCCGGAGAAAGACAGUGUCUGGCGGGUAGUUUGACUGGGGCGGUCGCCUCCUAAAGUGUAACGGAGGCAUGCAAAGGUUCCCUCAGCCUGAUCGGAAACCAGGCGCUGAGUGCAAACGCAUAAGGGAGCUUGACUGUAAGAGAGACAUCUCGAACAGGAACGAAAGUUGGCGUUAGUGAUCCGGUGGUCCCGAAUGGAAGGGCCAUCGCUCAUUGGAUAAAAGGUACGCCGGGGAUAACAGGCUGAUCGCAUCCAAGAGUUCACAUCGACGAUGCGGUUUGGCACCUCGAUGUCGGCUCAUCACAUCCUGGGGCUGAAGCAGGUCCCAAGGGUACGGCUGUUCGCCGUUUAAAGUGGUACGCGAGCUGGGUUUAAAACGUCGUGAGACAGUUUGGUCCCUAUCUUCUGUGGGCGAAGGAGAAUUGAGAGGGCCUGUCCCUAGUACGAGAGGACCGGGAUGGACGCACCCCUGGUGAUCCUGUUGUCGCGCCAGCGGCAUAGCAGGGUAGCUAUGUGCGGAAGGGAUAACCGCUGAAAGCAUCUAAGCGGGAAGCCUGCCUCAAGAUAAGUUCUCCCCUCGAAAGAGCUGAAGGGCCCGGGUAGACUACCCGGUCGAUAGGCUGGAGGUGUAAGCGCGGCGACGUGCUCAGCUGACCAGUACUAAUAGCCCGAGCGGCUUAUUUUU